rfam:Butyrivibrio proteoclasticus strain P18 genome assembly, contig: Ga0066879_116
UUAUGGCAGGGGAGAAAGGACAUAAUACGUUCAUGCUAGCAUGAUAAGUAUUAUGGCUUUGAAACCCGAAGAAUAUGAGGAAGAAGCACUAUUGUGCGAAUUCCGAAUGUUCUAGAAUUGCGAGAGUUGCGAGCAACGGAGCAAUUCGUGCCAUUA